UUCCGGUGGCUCCCGGCGGCGGGUCCGUGCGGUCUCCCGGCGAGUGUAUCGCGGGCCCCGCGGGCGGCGAAGGAGAAGGGCGGCCCCGUCUGCGUCAGGCCGCGUCCCCCGCGCCUCCGGAGACGGCUCCCUGCCCGCGGCGCCCCGCACCCCGCGGAUGACGAGCUCCGAGCCACGCUCCGCCCACAGGUUCCGAUGGCCGAGGAGGCGCGGGGCCCGGUCACCUUCGAAGACGUGGCCCUGUACUUCUCCCGGGAGGAGUGGACGCUCCUCACCCGCACGCAGAGGAGCCUGUACCGGGAGGUGAUGCUGGAGAACUUCACGCUCACGGUCUCGCUGGGUCUGUCUGGCUUCAUGGGAGUUUUUGUCACUGGCUCCCCAACUUCGUCCGUCCGUGGGUUCAGCUGCCACAAGUGACGUGAAUUGGGUCUUUGUUCUCUGCUUUCCCAGGCCAGG